AUUGAACGCUGGCGGCAGGCCUAACACAUGCAAGUCGAGCGGAUGAGAGGAGCUUGCUUCUCGAUUCAGCGGCGGACGGGUGAGUAAUGCCUAGGAAUCUGCCUGGUAGUGGGGGACAACGUUUCGAAAGGAACGCUAAUACCGCAUACGUCCUACGGGAGAAAGCAGGGGACCUUCGGGCCUUGCGCUAUCAGAUGAGCCUAGGUCGGAUUAGCUAGUUGGUGAGGUAAUGGCUCACCAAGGCGACGAUCCGUAACUGGUCUGAGAGGAUGAUCAGUCACACUGGAACUGAGACACGGUCCAGACUCCUACGGGAGGCAGCAGUGGGGAAUAUUGGACAAUGGGCGAAAGCCUGAUCCAGCCAUGCCGCGUGUGUGAAGAAGGUCUUCGGAUUGUAAAGCACUUUAAGUUGGGAGGAAGGGUUGUAGAUUAACACUCUGCAAUUUUGACGUUACCGACAGAAUAAGCACCGGCUAACUCUGUGCCAGCCGCCGCCGUAA
rnacentral:rRNA from 1 species